rnacentral:rRNA from 1 species
GUGUUAGUGGAACGGUCUGGAAAGUCCGACGGUACAGGGUGAUAGUCCCGUACACCAAAAUGCACAGGAUGUGAACUCGAAGAGUAGGGCGGGACACGUGGUAUCCUGUCUGAAUAUGGUGGGACCAUCCUCCAAGGCUAAAUACUCCUGACUUACCGAUAGUGAACCAGUACCGUGAGGGAAAGGCGAAAAGAACCCCGCCGAGGGGAGAGAAAAAGAACCUGAACCCGUGUACGUAC